rnacentral:tRNA from 1 species
GCCGCGAUCGUCUAGUGGUUAGGACAUUAGUUUGUGGUCAACUAAUCGGAAACACUGAAAACGGCGGUUCGAUUCCGCCUCGUGGCA